CGACGUAGGUAACCUGCCUGGUAGCGGGGGAUAACUAUUGGAAACGAUAGCUAAUACCGCAUAAGAGUAGAUGUUGCAUGACAUUUGCUUAAAAGGUGCAAUUGCAUCACUACCAGAUGGACCUGCGUUGUAUUAGCUAGUUGGUGGGGUAACGGCUCACCAAGGCGACGAUACAUAGCCGACCUGGGAGGGUGAUCGGCCACACUGGGACUGAGACACGGCCCAG
rnacentral:rRNA from 1 species